UACGGGGGGGGCAAGCGUUGUUCGGAAUUACUGGGCGUAAAGGGUUCGUAGGUGGCCAACUAAGUCAGACGUGAAAUCCCUCAGCUUAACUGGGGAACUGCGUCUGAGACUGGAUGGCUUGAGUGCAGGAGAGGAACGCGGAAUUCCAGGUGUAGCGGUGAAAUGCGUAGAUAUCAGGAGGAACACCGGUGGCGAAGGCGGGUCUCUGGGCCGUAACUGACGCUGAGGAGCGAAAGCGUGGGGAGCGAACAGG
rnacentral:rRNA from 1 species